GAAAAUAGAGGACGGAACGGGCAGCCGUCGCCCCCGAAAGGGAUAGGAGAUGUGGGAAAUGUCACCCCACCUAUUUUU
ncrna:unclassified sequences skipping-rope RNA